UUAAUAGUCGAUGCCCAAAGCUUAAUUUUAAAACAUCUUAGACAAAAAACUCAUUCACCUUUGGUGUUGUUUUUUUCUUUUUUUUGCUGUCGAGACCUUUGGUGUCUCUUUCUGGAAAAUUGAAAGCUGGAAAAUAUCAGAACAUUCUCUCUUUAUUACCACCGAUUGUUCUGGUCUUAAACUCAUGGAUCUGUAAAACUCAACUCCGACCGUUCAGAUUAGACUCCUCCGUUUAUUCCGAUGGUCGAUCUAAGGAUCGAAGAGCAAGUCAAAGAUCUGAUAAAAGCAUGAAACAAAGUGAAACAGAAGCUUCAAAACUCGGUAGAUUCACCGAGGAUGAGAAGAAAGAUGAGUCUGAGAUGGUUGUCGAUUGUAUCAUAAGAAGUGUUGGAAGACAACCAAACGAUUUCUUAUGAAUGUGAGAUUGGAAUGAUCUUGAAGAGUCUGAAGACGAUGUGAAUCGAUCAAAGACUACGAACUUUAUCCUUCUAUGAAGGAAAACAUGACUUCAAUAUAAAAGAUAAGUUAUUUUCAGAAAGUUUGUCUUUUUUACAUUAUAUAUAAUGUAUCUGCCAUUAGAACCUUGACAUGAACAAUCUUGUUAGUGUGCCUUGGCUUCAAGUCGCUGAUGGCGGUGAUUUCUUCAAUAGAAGCCAUUUUUUUGUUUGAGGGUAUAGAGUUUGAUGAUGUCGAUGGGCUUUUCAGGGUAUAGGAUUCGAUGGGCUAAACGUUAUAUUCUGAUUGGUUUAUAAACGCAUGGGCUCACUCGAUUUGGGCCUAAGUUGCUACGUGGAAUCGUUAUGGAUAGGUGAUUAAAACAAAAGAUUUCUGAUUGGUCUAUUAACAUGGACGUUUUUUAUUAAAGAAAAAAAAAAGAAAAUGCAGUGGCAUUUGGUUGUAAAUAUAUUGAAAAGAUAGGGGCAGAAUCCUAUUAGGGAUUCUGCUUUAAUAGUAUAGAUUAAGUUUGUUUAAUUAUUGUUAUCAAAUUGAUAAGUUCAUGCA